GAAUAUUGGACAAUGGGGGCAACCCUGAUCCAGCCAUGCCGCGUGUGUGAAGAAGGCCUUCGGGUUGUAAAGCACUUUCAGUGGUGAGGAAGGUUGUUGUGUUAAUAGCGCAGCAAAUUGACGUUAGCCACAGAAGAAGCACCGGCCAACUCCGUGCCCGCAGCCGCGGUAAUACGGAGGGUGCAAGCGUUAAUCGGAAUUACUGGGCGUAAAGCGCGCGUAGGCGGUUUGAUAAGUGAGAUGUGAAAGCCCCGGGCUUAACCCGGGAAUUGCAUCUUAUACUGUCAGGCUAGAGUAUGGUAGAGGUGGGUAGAAUUCCUGGUGAAGCGGUGAAAUGCGUAGAGAUCAGGAGGAAUACCGGUGGCGAAGGCGGCCCACUGGACCAAUACUGACGCUGAGGUGCGAAAGCGUGGGGAGCAAACAGG
rnacentral:rRNA from 1 species